UGCAGGAGCAGUUAGAAGACAGAUGCAUUCUCCUCGGGAGCUGCCACUGACCACACCCCAGUGCUAAUCCCAGAACCAUCUGUGUCACACAACUGCUUUCAAGCUACCAACAAAAUGUGCAGAGUUGUGGGAAGGAACUUCCACAAGAGGAUGUGCUUUCAGAGGAGGAUGUCAUAGAUGAGAACUGCUGCCAUGAACAACCAUAAACAACCGCUGACAGCUGCCUCUCCUGGGGGCUUCCCCCCAGCACAUCAGAUGGUGCACGGUGCCACAAACCUCCGCUGUGUCCCAAGGCCCAGUAUCAGAGGUCGAAUCAAGCUUUGCCUAAACAUAUUAAACAGAAAAUUGCAGAAAAAAUUUGUGACCUGUGUGUGAUUCUGAGUCAUGUGAUGAACGCUUGCAGCACCAGCUCAUCGAGAAGAUGGUUCAUCCCUUUGUGUGAAUGUGCACCCGACCCACUCUUCCUCACUCAGUGUCAUCUUAACUAUCAGGUCAACUGCUGUGGUAUCAGAAGUCUUCUGUGCAAGUGGAAGUUCAGGGACAUGGAAUAAGAAUCUUUUCAGGGAUCCUUUCCCACGCAGAACAUGAAGAAAUAAGACUGUCUUAUAGGAUGUUCUGUGAUUUACCUGCUAAAUCUACACCAGAGCAAUGAAAUACCUGCCAUAUGGCUUAACAUGAUAAACUCAGAAUGAAACAAUAUAUUUCCCACAGAAGAUUCAAACCUACCACCAGCACAGGAAACUGACCUUGUACACCUAUUCUAAAGUUUCCCAUUCUUUUGAAAAAGAAAAUUGCACCAAUAUAUAUUUCAGAAACUGUGCAAAGCAGAUCCUUGA